rnacentral:sRNA from 1 species
AGCCUAGUCUUAGCAUUUUAUGUCUUACCUUUAACAAAUUUCCAUUCAUCAAUUCUGAUUAAUCCCAGGCCAGGACGAGUAGACCCCAUUUGCCAGGUGGCCCCCGAAGGACAAUCCACAAUUAAAUGCUGCGCUCAUGGCGACAUCGUUUAUCACUUCGCGGACUUCUCAGUCUUGGAUUCGCUAGGCUCUCUGUCGACCAUUAUGGUUGCUUCAUUACCAGCGAUUAAUUUUGAUUGUUUCGACCAAGAGACGAAGGGCCAUAUUUCACCCAACAGGAGACAGACAGUGCCAGGAUGCGGAGUGGGAACUGUGACCGAAAUUAAGCACACAGGACACAACUACACGAAAACGUAAUAAAAUCAUAAUCGUCGGAUCAACACAGUCAUCAGCGGUGUCACAACAGGCCACCAGGAGAUGAUGACAACAAACACACACCAGCCAUCCCGCAAUCCCGCCAACCGACUUCGGAGGACUCCGAAGGAUGCCACAAGGCGACCCAAGGAGCCCCAGCCGUCGUGGCAGAAGCAAUUGCCAGGCGAAACUCAACGUCCUCUUCCUCGUCCUCCAAAAAAAUAGAAAAAACAAGAGCCAAGCUAAAGGGAAAAACUGAACAGGAACAGAGAGCUGAGAGACAAUGAAGACGGCGUUGCAAGGACUAAAAGUGGCAAUUGCCAGGACGAGGACAGAGACAGAGGACAGUGAAACUAUAGACCAAAAAUCACUGUAUCCCCUGAAAGAGACCCGGACCUCAUCCGCCCACGCACAUGAAGAGCUGAUGUGCAGCUUCCGGUCCUAAGCGACGCACAGGUGCAGGCUAACGGUAAAGCUAUAGCCAAAGCAGGGAAUGAAAGAGAAGGACCAAGGGCUCCACUGCCAACCGAAUCCAGCCAAGCACGGCGAGCCAUAAAAACUUUGGGCUGGGAGUUAGGUUGGGCAACUGGAGGUGAUGAUGAAAAAUGCGACAAUGAAAAUAAUGCCCGGCACACGCAUCUCCAGCUCCAUCUCCAUCUGAAAUCUCCUUCCACAUCCUUGACUACGUUCACAUCCAAUCCGGAUACCAAAUGAGGGCUGAGCCACCGCCGACGUCCAGCGGCGAUGUGAAGCUAUAUAGAAGCCAUUCGAGGCACUUAAAGACACGGCGGCGGGUCGAUGCCAUUUUUGGUGUCUGGGUGUGAAAAAGUUUAAGUGGCAACAAGGACAAAAUCCCUGGAUUUACUUUUAUGCACUCUCACACUCCGACUCCCACUCACUCGCUUUCUGAGUGCAAUCUGAGAGGUGAAUGUCGAACAGUGUAAGCUUCCCCAAAAAGCAAGAAAAAAAAA